rnacentral:rRNA from 1 species
UACGUAGGCAGCGAGCGUUGUUCGGAAUUACUGGGCGUAAAGAGUGUGUAGGCGGUGCUCCCAGUCUGUUGUGAAAUCUCCCGGCUUAACUGGGAGGGUGCAGCGGAAACUAGAGUGCUAGAGGGUGGGAGAGGUAAGCGGAAUUCCUGGUGUAGCGGUGAAAUGCGUAGAUAUCAGGAGGAACACCUGUGGUGUAGACAGCUUACUGGACCACUUCUGACGCUGAGACACGAAAGCGUGGGUAGCAAAUAGG